rnacentral:rRNA from 1 species
UACAGAGGGUGCGAGCGUUGUUCGGAAUUAUUGGGCGUAAAGGGCGCGUAGGCGGUGCCACAAGUCACUUGUGAAAUCCCCGGGCUUAACUCGGGGCCUGCAGGCGAAACUGUGGUGCUGGAGUAUGGGAGAGGUGCGUGGAAUUCCCGGUGUAGCGGUGAAAUGCGCAGAUAUCGGGAGGAACACCCGUAGCGAAGGCGGCACUCUGGGGCCGGUACUGACGCUGAGGAGCGAAAGCGUGGGGAGCAAAACAGG